rnacentral:misc_RNA from 1 species
AAGUCGUAACAAGGUUUCCGUAGGUGAACCUGCGGAAGGAUCAUUACAAAUACUUGGUUAAAGCCAACAUUUCUUGUGCAAACUAUUGACGCUGCCAGUUAUUCAACACGGCCCUCGGACUGUAUUGACAACUGGCAGCAGACUGUACAUUCAUGCUUGUGCAAUGGGUCAUCCAAUGCACAUUUGUGGGUGUACUGUCAGCGGGCUUUCGCUGCUGUCUUUUAGACAACAUGCGGUAAGUUCGUCUUUUAAACAUAUAUACAUCAGUCUUAAACAUCCGUCAGAAGGCAGUAGCGCAAGUGCGAAAUUUUCUGACAUAAAAGGGUUAAAAACUUUUAGCAACGGAUCUCUAGGCUCUC